UUGUGGGGCUCCACUGCAAUCUAUUCAUCAAGAUUAUAUGAUAAUUUUAUUUGGUGUUGUGCCAGGAUUUUUUUGAGAAUAUGUCGAGGCUCAAAAAAUUUGAAAAUAGAAGAGUGGCAACAGGUUUGGAAACAAAGAUUUUUCUUAUUCAAUGUUUUUCAAUAUAGGCACAGCGCCGGGCAUGGAAAAAAAUGUCAGUUUGCUUGACUGACUGGUUGCACAGGUUACACAUUGGCUGUUUAAUCUGAUUUGCACAACAAUGACUAUGGGCGUGGAACGUGCGAUAAAUGAUUUACACUCAGAACUCAGGCAGUCGCACAUAAGACAAGUUGACACACAAGCUCUAAAUGACUUGGUCCAAAGUUUUUAUUUUGCAAUUCCUGUUCCAGCCCUGUCUCCAAGUCUUGUUUACUGCUGAUGCCGAACGAGUCUCAUACAGUGCCCAAAUGGGAGGGGAAGUGCUAAUGGGCUGCCACUUCUACCUUUUGUCACCGCGUCCCCAUUAGGACUUGAUGGUGGCUUGGUACUUGAGCUCCAGGGCUCCGUCCCGCUUGGUGUCCCGCCUAGAAAGCGGGCUGGAGCAAGAUUCUUUCCAGCAUCGGGACUUCAAGGGUCGGGGGAUUCUGCUCACCGAGAAGAUUAAAGACGGCCGGGCCAUACUGCAGGUCAGGUGUCCAAGGUUCGCAUCAACGACUCGGGAAACUACCAGUGUGUGGUGCGGCGAAGAACGGGGCUGACUAUAAAGACAUUAAACUAUCUGUUACUGCACCUUAUGAAACAGUCACAAAAACGAUUUCCAAGACGGUAACCGGAGGCAAGCUUGUGUUAAGCUGCCAGUCCGAGGGCUACCCGAUGUCUACGGUGGCUUGGGAGGAUGCUCACGGGCGAAAUCUCAACGCCAGCACCAGCG